rnacentral:rRNA from 1 species
UACUCGAGUGGCGAACGGGUGAGUAACACGUGGGUGAUCUGCCUUGCACUCUGGGAUAAGCUUGGGAAACUGGGUCUAAUACCGGAUAGGAACCGUCUUUAGUGUGGUGGUUGGAAAGUUUUUUCGGUGCAAGAUGAACUCGCGGCCUAUCAGCUUGUUGGUGGGGUAAUGGCCUACCAAGGCGUCGACGGGUAGCCGGCCUGAGAGGGUGUACGGCCACAUUGGGACUGAGAUACGGCCCAG